GAAAGACACUGUUAAGGUUCCUUCUUGCUUUUGCUACCUUGUGCGCACCACGUUGUUUCUCCUCGGCGAGCCCUGUUUGUCAUCCCAGCCUUGGAUCCAGCCAAUUAUGGACUGAAACCUCUAUGAACUAUAAAAAUGGUUGACUGCAGGUAACUGAAGAUGACUCAACAUGAUACAUUUUUAUGAACAAAUCAUUAGAAGGGUCUUGCUCCGCAGUUCCGAUAAGCCAUGAAUUUGUGAUCCUCCUGCCUCAGCUUCCAAGUGCUAUAAGUAUAGUUUGCAUCAUCACACUCAGCUUUUUGUUGAGCUCUUUGGAUGGAAAUUCUUACAUGUUGGACAACUUUUGCAGCUUUUGAUCACCUGGAAAUAUGUUCAAUUUACUGCCAUUAUCCUUUUCCAAAUCAUGAACACAGGCAAGAGCACAGGACUGGAGAACAGAGUGACAAGCAGAUCACAGCAGAUUUCUCUGUGUGUUAGUGUGGAUAAACACUUAUGUAUAUGUACUAACUCACAUUUCACCAAAUUGGCUUGACUUUAUCAACAUUUUCUUUCAAAUUUAUUACUUGCAAACAUUUUGGUAAAAUGUUCAUGCAUUAUUUCUCCUGAGAUGUGAUGACUGGACCAGUACUUCUUACAUGUACCCCUCCGUGAUUCAACUACUACCUGUGGAAAACAACAAGCAAGCAAACCAGCAAACAAACCAGUGAAGCAACCAAAUAACUGGCUACAAUUGCUUAGUGAAAAGAGAACCAAAAGUCUAUGUCAUUAGCUACUUAUUAAUCUUUGGGCAAGUUACUUUAUUCUUAAAUCUCACAUUUCUUGUAAAAUCAAGAUAAGAAAAAUUCCAUAGCUAAAAGCAUUGGUGCUAUGGACUGUAAAUGUCUUUGAAUAUUUUGACCAAACACUUUAAAAGAGAUGGUGAAUAUCUUUCAAAAUCAACUUUCUACCAGGAUUUUCAAACUUCAAAAUGCACCAGCAUUAUCCAGAGACUUACUAAAACACAGAUGGCUGGUAACCCAGAAUUUCUGAUUAAAUAGGUCUGCCAAGAAUCAUCCUGUCUUACAAUUUCUUAACUCUUUUUGAUGUUGCUGGCAGGUGCACUGUACUUGGGGAACCACUGGGGAGAUGUGGAGAACAGUUAUAUGUAGACUACGAAGGACAGUGAAAGAAAUGGAUACCUUGACUAAGAUACUGACUGGUGACUGAUCAGAUAAGGAACAAGAAAGCGUGGCUGUGUGUGGCUCAGUGGCAGAAGCAUGCCUAGCUCAAGGCAUGUGUCUUGAUCCCAACAGCAGGGGCAAGAGGAGGAAGAGGUUUUUGGUUCUAAGUUCAGAUUUGAAAGACAUGAUGCUCAGAGUGUGCAGGACCACCAGAGGACACAGAUGACUUUCACAAGGAUUUCCACUGAAAUUUCCAGAAAGUCCAGGUGGAGUCUGGAGCAAAUAUCAGUCCUAAUAGAGACUAGUCUAAAGUUUCAACUUGUAUAACCACAGAUGAUUGUAUUGUAUUGAGAUGCUCAUCCAGUUGUAACACUUGACGUUUUCAUCAAUGUUGGGAAACAUUUUGAUGAAAAUAAUAUUAUAUAGAAGUCCAAGGUGAUGAUUACAUCAACAAUUAAUUCCUGCUCUGUCCCACAUCCACUGAACCCUUGGAUUAAAUGAUAAUAUCUGCAUAAGCCACAGCUUAAGUGAUGCUGGCAAAGCAACUGCCUUUGUUUGUGGUCAUGACUAGUGGCAUUUUGAAACUGCCAGGAAGGAGGCAGUAGCUGAGCACAGGACAAUGUUCGCCAGGGCAGAGUGAUUAUGGCAAUGCUGCUGUCAAUUAAAGGACACCAGUUGUAAUUUCAAAUCCUCUGUGAAAUGUGGCUAGUGGGGGUGGAAACUGAGAAAUAGAAGAAAAAGGAAAGACCUUAAGUUUUGGUUUGUGGCCAUCUUUGGUGAUGUCUACUCCUGGCAUUCGUAGCUGUUGAGGGAUUAGAAACACAUUACUCUAAUGCAAAAGGUCUUUUGGUAGCAGUGGGCUAGGCAUACAGCACCCUCUAGACUCUCAGGAGACAUAAAAUUCUUUUCAAAAAACUUACAUUAAAAUUUAGCCAUCAUAACUUGAAAAACUCACAUAAGAUACUCGAGGCAAAUUUAGGGACAUUUAUUGGCCUACAAUAACUAUCUCACUGAGUAGUCACUUGGAAAACAAUUUGCAGUAAGGGAAAACUGUCAGUUAAUUAUUGAAACAAACAAAAACAUAGAUGUACCAUAAAAGGUAGUCAGUGUCAUUUUGGUUGGAUCAUUUUUGAUUCUUAUUUCUGCCCCUUAGUUUGAACACAUGUGUGUGUGUGUGUGUGUGUGUGUGUGAGAGAGAGAGAGAUCUAUAUGAA
ensembl:lncRNA